rnacentral:rRNA from 1 species
AAGACCUUGCGCUUUUGGAGCGGCCGAUGUCUGAUUAGCUUGUUGGUGAGGUAAAAGCUUACCAAGGCUUCGAUCAGUAGCUGGUCUGAGAGGACGACCAGCCACACUGGGACUGAGACACGGCCCAGACUCCUACGGGAGGCAGCAGUGGGGAAUUUUGGACAAUGGGGGCAACCCUGAUCCAGCCAUGCCGCGUGAGUGAAGAAGGCCUUCGGGUUGUAAAGCUCUUUCAGCCGGAACGAAACGGUUACGGUUAAUACCCGUGACUACUGACGGUACCGGAAGAAGAAGCACCGGCUAACUACGUGCCAGCAGCCGCGGUAAUACGUAGGGUGCAAGCGUUAAUCGGAAUUACUGGGCGUAAAGCGUGCGCAGGUGGUUUUGUAAGUCAGAUGUGAAAUCCCCGGGCUUAACCUGGGAACU